UACGGGGGGGGCAAGCGUUGUUCGGAAUUACUGGGCGUAAAGGCGCGUAGGCGGCCAACUAAGUCACACGUGAAAUCCCCAGGCUUAACCUGGGAACUGCGUGUGAUACUGGAUGGCUUGAAUUCGGGAGAGGGAUGCGGAAUUCCAGGUGUAGCGGUGAAAUGCGUAGAUAUCUGGAGGAACACCGGUGGCGAAGGCGGCAUCCUGGACCGACAUUGACACUGAGGCACGAAAGCGUGGGGAGCAAACAGG
rnacentral:rRNA from 1 species